rnacentral:sRNA from 1 species
AGAUCCACACCUUUCUGGGUUCUGCCCAGCUGGAGAGGAUUUCUCUGACCUGGAGCCCAUCUGUGCUUUCAGCUGCUGCUGAGCCUCCCUCAGCGUCGAGCAGAAAGAGGCCCACUGCUCCUGCCUCCCGAGGAGGUUUUGGCAAAGGAGCUUGAGUUGGUGACGAAGGCUGGCUGCGUACUCGCCUGCCAGGUGCCUCCUCCGGCUGGCCUUCUCUUCUGCAGCCCAGGCAGCUGCCUCAGCAGCCUGGGUCAGAGACAACCCUGCCUGCUCACCUGCAGGCGCUACAGCCACCAGGGACAGCAAGCUCGGGGACACCCCGCUCACCUUGGGAACUCCAGAGUUAUUCUGGACAGGCAUGGCAGCAGCGGCAAAGGGGAUGAGAAAUUCCCAGAGAUGGUGGGAACUGUAGGGAAACAAUUCCAAGAAAAAGGACAUUCUUCACCCAGCAGCUCCUGCCAUAUUCACUGAGAUGUGUUUUUGUAUUUUCCUAUG